rnacentral:rRNA from 1 species
UACGGGGGGAGCAAGCGUUGUUCGGAUUUACUGGGCGUAAAGGGCUCGUAGGCGGCCAACUAAGUCGGAUGUGAAAUCCCCAGGCUCAACUUGGGAACUGCAUCCGAUACUGGAUGGCUUGAAUCCGGGAGAGGGAUGCAGAAUUCCAGGUGUAGCGGUGAAAUGCGUAGAUAUCUGGAGGAAUACCGGUGGCGAAGGCGGCAUCCUGGACCGGCAUUGACGCUGAUGAGCGAAAGCUAGGGGAGCAAACGGG